rnacentral:rRNA from 1 species
GAUUAGCCAUGCUAGUCGCACGAGUUCAGACUCGUGGCAUAUAGCUCAGUAACACGUGGCCAAACUACCCUUCAGACCGCGAUAACCUCGGGAAACUGAGGCCAAUAGCGGAUAUCACUCUCAUGCUGGAGUGAGAGAGUGACAAACGUUCCGGCGCUGAAGGAUGUGGCUGCGGCCGAUUAGGUAGAUGGUGGGGUAACGGCCCACCAUGCCGAUAAUCGGUACGGGUUGUGAGAGCAAGAACCUGGAGACGGUAUCUGAGACAAGAUACCGGGCCCUACGGGGCGCAGCAGGCGCGAAACCUUUACACUGCACGACAGUGCGAUAGGGGGACUCCGAGUGUGAGGGCAUAUAGCCCUCGCUUUUUCUGAACCGUAAGGUGGUUCAGGAACAAGGACUGGGCAAGACCGGUGCCAGCCGCCCGCGGUAAUACCGGCAGUCCAAGUGAUGGCCGAUAUUAUUGGGCUUAAAGCGUCCGUAGCUUGCUGUGUAAGUCCAUUGGGAAAUCGACUAGCUCAACUGGUCGGCGUCCGGUGGAAAUUACACAGCUUGGAGCCGAGAGACUCGACGGGUACGUCCGGGGUAGGAGUGAAAUCCUGUAUUCUUGGACGGACCACG